rnacentral:rRNA from 1 species
AGUGAACGCUGGCGGUAGGCCUUACACAUGCAAGUCGAACGGUAACAGGUCUUCGGAUGCUGACGAGUGGCGAACGGGUGAGUAAUACAUCGGAACGUGCCUAGUAGUGGGGGAUAACUACUCGAAAGAGUGGCUAAUACCGCAUGAGAUCUACGGAUGAAAGCAGGGGAUCGCAAGACCUUGUGCUACUAGAGCGGCCGAUGGCAGAUUAGGUAGUUGGUGGGAUAAAAGCUUACCAAGCCGACGAUCUGUAGCUGGUCUGAGAGGACGAUCAGCCACACUGGGACUGAGAAACGGCCCAGACUCCUACGGGAGGCAGCAGUGGGGAAUUUUGGACAAUGGGCGCAAGCCUGAUCCAGCAAUGCCGCGUGCAGGAUGAAGGCCUUCGGGUUGUAAACUGCUUUUGUACGGAACGAAAAGCCCCGGGUUAAUACCCUGGGGUCAUGACGGUACCCAAAGAAUAAGCACCGGCUAACUUCGUGCCAGCAGCCGCCGUAA